rnacentral:rRNA from 1 species
AUUGAACGUUGGCGGCAGGCCUAACACAUGCAAGUCGAGCGGAUGAAGGGAGCUUGCUCCUGGAUUCAGCGGCGGACGGGUGAGUAAUGCCUAGGAAUCUGCCUGGUAGUGGGGGAUAACGUCCGGAAACGGGCGCUAAUACCGCAUACGUCCUGAGGGAGAAAGUGGGGGAUCUUCGGACCUCACGCUAUCAGAUGAGCCUAGGUCGGAUUAGCUAGUUGGUGGGGUAAAGGCCUACCAAGGCGACGAUCCGUAACUGGUCUGAGAGGAUGAUCAGUCACACUGGAACUGAGACACGGUCCAGACUCCUACGGGAGGCAGCAGUGGGGAAUAUUGGAUAAUGGGCGAAAGCCUGAUCCAGCCAUGCCGCGUGUGUGAAGAAGGUCUUCGGAUUGUAAAGCACUUUAAGUUGGGAGGAAGGGCAGUAAGUUAAUACCUUGCUGUUUUGACGUUACCAACAGAAUAAGCACCGGCUAACUUCGU